rnacentral:rRNA from 1 species
UGAACGCUGGCGGCGUGCCUAAUACAUGCAAGUCGAGCGAACGGACGAGAAGCUUGCUUCUCUGAUGUUAGCGGCGGACGGGUGAGUACCCCUUGGUUACCUAACCAUAACUCUGGGAUAACCUUGGGAAACCGGAUCUAAUACCGGAUAAUAUUUUGAACCGCCUGGUUCAAAAGUGAAAGACGGUCUUGCUGUCACUUAUAGAUGGAUCCGCACUGCAUUAGCUAGUUGGUAAGGUAACGGCUUACCAAGGCAACGAUGCAUAGCCGACCUGAGAGGGUGAUCGGACACACUGGAACUGAGACACGGUCCAGACUCCUACGGGAGGCAGCAGUAGGGAAUCUUCCGCAAUGGGCGAAAGCCUGACGGAGCAACGCCGCGUGAGUGAUGAAGGUCUUCGGAUCGUAAAACUCUGUUAUUAGGGAAGAACAUAUGUGUAAGUAACUGUGCACAUCUUGACGGUACCUAAUCAGAAAGCCACGGCUAACUACGUG